GCGGGUGUGGCGGAACUGGUAGACGCGCCAGAUUCAAAAUCUGGUUCUGGUAACAGAGUGGGAGUUCAAGUCUCCCCACCCGCACCA
rnacentral:tRNA from 1 species